GCAAGUCGAGCGGUAAGGCCCUUCGGGGUACACGAGCGGCGAACGGGUGAGUAACACGUGAGCAACCUACCCUCAACUUCGGGAUAAGCCUCGGAAACGGGGUCUAAUACCGGAUAUCACUCCUGCCUUCAUGGGUGGGGGUUGAAAGUUCUGGCGGUUGGGGAUGGGCUCGCGGCCUAUCAGCUUGUUGGUGGGGUAAUGGCCUACCAAGGCGUCGACGGGUAGCCGGCCUGAGAGGGCGACCGGCCACACUGGGACUGAGACACGGCCCAGACUCCUACGGGAGGCAGCAGUGRGGAAUAUUGCGCAAUGGACGAAAGUCUGACGCAGCAACGCCGCGUGAGGGAUGACGGCCUUCGGGUUGUAAACCUCUUUCAGCAGGGACGAAGCGAGAGUGACGGUACCUGCAGAAGAAGGACCGGCCAACUACGUGCCAGCAGCCGCGGUAAUACGUAGGGUCCGAGCGUUGUCCGGAAUUAUUGGGCGUAAAGGGCUCGUAGGCGGUUCGUCACGUCGGGAGUGAAAACUCGGAGCUCAACUCCGAGCCUGCUUCCGAUACGGGCAGACUAGAGGUAGGCAGGGGAGAGCGGAACUCCUGGUGUAGCGGUGGAAUGCGCAGAUAUCAGGAAGAACACCGGUGGCGAAGGCGGCUCUCUGGGCCUUACCUGACGCUGAGGAGCGAAAGCGUGGGUAGCGAACAGGAUUAGAUACCCUGGUAGUCCACGCCGUAGACGUUGGGCGCUAGGUGUGGGGGACAUUCCACGUCCUCCGUGCCGCAGCUAACGCAUUAAGCGC
rnacentral:rRNA from 1 species